rnacentral:rRNA from 2 species
CAUGCAAGUCGAACGAACUCUGGUAUUGAUUGGUGCUUGCAUCAUGAUUUACAUUUGAGUGAGUGGCGAACUGGUGAGUAACACGUGGGAAACCUGCCCAGAAGCGGGGGAUAACACCUGGAAACAGAUGCUAAUACCGCAUAACAACUUGGACCGCAUGGUCCGAGUUUGAAAGAUGGCUUCGGCUAUCACUUUUGGAUGGUCCCGCGGCGUAUUAGCUAGAUGGUGGGGUAACGGCUCACCAUGGCAAUGAUACGUAGCCGACCUGAGAGGGUAAUCGGCCACAUUGGGACUGAGACACGGCCCAAACUCCUACGGGAGGCAGCAGUAGGGAAUCUUCCACAAUGGACGAAAGUCUGAUGGAGCAACGCCGCGUGAGUGAAGAAGGGUUUCGGCUCGUAAAACUCUGUUGUUAAAGAAGAACAUAUCUGAGAGUAACUGUUCAGGUAUUGACGGUAUUUAACCAGAAAGCCACGGCUAACUACGUGCCAGCAGCCGCGGUAAUACGUAGGUGGCAAGCGUUGUCCGGAUUUAUUGGGCGUAAAGCGAGCGCAGGCGGUUUUUUAAGUCUGAUGUGAAAGCCUUCGGCUCAACCGAAGAAGUGCAUCGGAAACUGGGAAACUUGAGUGCAGAAGAGGACAGUGGAACUCCAUGUGUAGCGGUGAAAUGCGUAGAUAUAUGGAAGAACACCAGUGGCGAAGGCGGCUGUCUGGUCUGUAACUGACGCUGAGGCUCGAAAGUAUGGGUAGCAAACAGGAUUAGAUACCCUGGUAGUCCAUACCGUAAACGAUGAAUGCUAAGUGUUGGAGGGUUUCCGCCCUUCAGUGCUGCAGCUAACGCAUUAAGCAUUCCGCCUGGGGAGUACGGCCGCAAGGCUGAAACUCAAAGGAAUUGACGGGGGCCCGCACAAGCGGUGGAGCAUGUGGUUUAAUUCGAAGCUACGCGAAGAACCUUACCAGGUCUUGACAUACUAUGCAAAUCUAAGAGAUUAGACGUUCCCUUCGGGGACAUGGAUACAGGUGGUGCAUGGUUGUCGUCAGCUCGUGUCGUGAGAUGUUGGGUUAAGUCCCGCAACGAGCGCAACCCUUAUUAUCAGUUGCCAGCAUUAAGUUGGGCACUCUGGUGAGACUGCCGGUGACAAACCGGAGGAAGGUGGGGAUGACGUCAAAUCAUCAUGCCCCUUAUGACCUGGGCUACACACGUGCUACAAUGGAUGGUACAACGAGUUGCGAACUCGCGAGAGUAAGCUAAUCUCUUAAAGCCAUUCUCAGUUCGGAUUGUAGGCUGCAACUCGCCUACAUGAAGUCGGAAUCGCUAGUAAUCGCGGAUCAGCAUGCCGCGGUGAAUACGUUCCCGGGCCUUGUACACACCGCCCGUCACACCAUGAGAGUUUGUAACACCCAAAGUCGGUGGGGUAACCUUUUAGGAACCAGCC